GCUUCGGUUGUUCAGGUCAUGAUGCAAUUCCUUUUGGAUUGAAGAUUGUCAGUAGACAGUCAACAGUCAGAAUCAACUCGGUCUGAUGCCCUUUGGGUGUUGGGUCUGUAUUUUUUUACGGAGAGUUUGAUCCUGGCUCAGGACGAACGCUGGCGGCGUGCUUAACACAUGCAAGUCGAACGAUGAUGCCCAGCUUGCUGGGUGGAUUAGUGGCGAACGGGUGAGUAACACGUGAGUAACCUGCCCCUGACUCUGGGAUAAGCGUUGGAAACGACGUCUAAUACUGGAUAUGACUACCGGCCGCAUGGUCUGGUGGUGGAAAGAUUUUUUGGUUGGGGAUGGACUCGCGGCCUAUCAGCUUGUUGGUGAGGUAAUGGCUCACCAAGGCGACGACGGGUAGCCGGCCUGAGAGGGUGACCGGCCACACUGGGACUGAGACACGGCCCAGACUCCUACGGGAGGCAGCAGUGGGGAAUAUUGCACAAUGGGCGAAAGCCUGAUGCAGCAACGCCGCGUGAGGGAUGACGGCCUUCGGGUUGUAAACCUCUUUUAGUAGGGAAGAAGCGAAAGUGACGGUACCUGCAGAAAAAGCACCGGCUAACUACGUGCCAGCAGCCGCGGUAAUACGUAGGGUGCAAGCGUUGUCCGGAAUUAUUGGGCGUAAAGAGCUCGUAGGCGGUUUGUCGCGUCUGCUGUGAAAUCCCGAGGCUCAACCUCGGGCUUGCAGUGGGUACGGGCAGACUAGAGUGCGGUAGGGGAGAUUGGAAUUCCUGGUGUAGCGGUGGAAUGCGCAGAUAUCAGGAGGAACACCGAUGGCGAAGGCAGAUCUCUGGGCCGUAACUGACGCUGAGGAGCGAAAGCAUGGGGAGCGAACAGGAUUAGAUACCCUGGUAGUCCAUGCCGUAAACGUUGGGCGCUAGAUGUAGGGACCUUUCCACGGUUUCUGUGUCGUAGCUAACGCAUUAAGCGCCCCGCCUGGGGAGUACGGCCGCAAGGCUAAAACUCAAAGGAAUUGACGGGGGCCCGCACAAGCGGCGGAGCAUGCGGAUUAAUUCGAUGCAACGCGAAGAACCUUACCAAGGCUUGACAUACACCGGAAACGGCCAGAGAUGGUCGCCCCCUUGUGGUCGGUGUACAGGUGGUGCAUGGUUGUCGUCAGCUCGUGUCGUGAGAUGUUGGGUUAAGUCCCGCAACGAGCGCAACCCUCGUUCUAUGUUGCCAGCGGGUUAUGCCGGGGACUCAUAGGAGACUGCCGGGGUCAACUCGGAGGAAGGUGGGGAUGACGUCAAAUCAUCAUGCCCCUUAUGUCUUGGGCUUCACGCAUGCUACAAUGGCCGGUACAAAGGGCUGCGAUACCGUAAGGUGGAGCGAAUCCCAAAAAGCCGGUCUCAGUUCGGAUUGAGGUCUGCAACUCGACCUCAUGAAGUCGGAGUCGCUAGUAAUCGCAGAUCAGCAACGCUGCGGUGAAUACGUUCCCGGGCCUUGUACACACCGCCCGUCAAGUCAUGAAAGUCGGUAACACCCGAAGCCGGUGGCCUAACCCUUGUGGAAGGAGCCGUCGAAGGUGGGAUCGGUGAUUAGGACUAAGUCGUAACAAGGUAGCCGUACCGGAAGGUGCGGCUGGAUCACCUCCUUUCU
rnacentral:rRNA from 1 species